rnacentral:rRNA from 1 species
UGGGGAAUAUUGGACAAUGGGCGAAAGCCUGAUCCAGCCAUGCCGCGUGUGUGAAGAAGGUCUUCGGAUUGUAAAGCACUUUAAGUUGGGAGGAAGGGCAGUAAGCGAAUACCUUGCUGUUUUGACGUUACCGACAGAAUAAGCACCGGCUAACUCUGUGCCAGCAGCCGCGGUAAUACAGAGGGUGCAAGCGUUAAUCGGAAUUACUGGGCGUAAAGCGCGCGUAGGUGGUUCGUUAAGUUGAAUGUGAAAGCCCCGGGCUCAACCUGGGAACUGCAUCCAAAACUGGCGAGCUAGAGUAGGGCAGAGGGGGGUGGAAUUUCCUGUGUAGCGGUGAAAUGCGUAGAUAUAGGAAGGAACACCAGUGGCGAAGGCGACCACCUGGGCUCAUACUGUCACUGAGGUGCGAAAGCGUGGGGAGCAAACAGG